AACGAACGCUGGCGGCAUGCCUAACACAUGCAAGUCGAACGAGACCUUCGGGUACAGUGGCGCACGGGAUCGUAACGCGUGGGAACAUGCACUUAGGUUCGGACUAACUUUCCGCAAGGGGUGCUAAUACCGGAUAAUGUCUUCGGCCCAAAGAUUUAUCGCCUUUGGAUGGACACGCGUUAGAUUAGCUAGUUGGUAAGGUAAAAGCCUGCCAAGGCGACGUUCCAUAGCUGGUCUGAGAGGAUGAUCAGACACACUGGGACAGAGACACGGCCCAGACUCCUGGGAGAGGCAGCAAGUGUGAAUAUUGAACGAUGGGCGAGAGCCUGAGCCAGCAAUGUCGCGUGAGUGAGGAAGUCCUUAAGAUUGUAAGUCUCUGUGGCCAGGGAUGAUAAUGACGGUACCGAGAGAAUAAGCGCCGGCUAACUCCGUG
rnacentral:rRNA from 1 species